CUACGUGCCAGCAGCCGCGGUAAUACGGAGGAUGCGAGCGUUAUCCGGAUUUAUUGGGUUUAAAGGGUGCGUAGGCGGCCUGUUAAGUCAGCGGUGAAAUCUAGGAGCUUAACUCCUAAAUUGCCAUUGAUACUGGCGGGCUUGAGUGUAGAUGAGGUAGGCGGAAUGCGUGGUGUAGCGGUGGAAUGCAUAGAUAUCACGCAGAACUCCGAUUGCGAAGGCAGCUUACUAAGGUACAACUGACGCUGAAGCACGAAAGCGUGGGUAUCAAACAGGAUUAGAUACCCUGGUAGUCCACGCAGUAAACGAUGAUAACUGGGCGUAUGCGAUAUACAGUAUGCUCCUAAGCGAAAGCGUUAAGUUAUCCACCUGGGGAGUACGCCGGCAACGGUGAAACUCAAAGGAAUUGACGGGGGCCCGCACAAGCGGUGGAGCAUGUGGUUUAAUUCGAAGCAACGCGAAGAACCUUACCAGGUCUUGACAUCCCGACGACCGCUCUAGAGAUAGAGUUUU
rnacentral:rRNA from 1 species